CAAAAACAUGUCUUUUUGAAAAUAAUUUAAAGUCUAAUCUGCCCACUGAUAAAUUAUUAAAGGGCUGCAGUAUAUUGACUGUACAAAGGUAGCAUAAUCAAUAGUCUUUUAAUUGAAGACUUGUAUGAAAGAUUUAAUGAAAUAUAAACUGUCUCUUAAUUAUUUAUAGAACUUAAUUUUUUAGUUAAAAAGCUAAAAUAAAUUUAAAAGACGAGAAGACCCUAUAGAGUUUUAUAUUUUAAAAUUUAAAAUUUUAUAUAAAAUUUUAAAUUUUAAGUGGAAAAAUAUUUUGUUGGGGUGAUAAAAAAAUUAAAAAAACUUUUUUUAAAUUUUAACAAAAAUAAAUGAAUAAUUGAUCCAUAUGUUAUGAUUAUAAGAAAAAAUUACCUUAGGGAUAACAGCGUAAUAUUUUUUUUUAGAUCAAAUAAGAAAAAAAGUUUGCGACCUCGAUGUUGGAUUAAGAUAAAAUUUAAAUGCAAAAGUUUAAAAUUUUGAUCUGUUCGAUCAUUAAAAUCUUACAUGAUCUGA
rnacentral:rRNA from 1 species